UGAGAUUUGAUCCUGGCUCAGGACGAACGCUGGCGGCGUGCUUAACACAUGCAAGUCGAACGGAAAGGCCCUUCGGGGUGCUCGAGUGGCGAACGGGUGAGUAACACGUGGGUGAUCUGCCCUGCACUUUGGGAUAAGCCUGGGAAACUGGGUCUAAUACCGAAUAUGACCGCAUGCUUCAUGGUGUGUGGUGGAAAGCUUUUGCGGUGUGGGAUGGGCCCGCGGCCUAUCAGCUUGUUGGUGGGGUAAUGGCCUACCAAGGCGACGACGGGUAGCCGGCCUGAGAGGGUGACCGGCCACACUGGGACUGAGAUACGGCCCAGACUCCUACGGGAGGCAGCAGUGGGGAAUAUUGCACAAUGGGCGCAAGCCUGAUGCAGCGACGCCGCGUGGGGGAUGACGGCCUUCGCC
rnacentral:rRNA from 1 species